GGAGUCCAGAAAGGGACCGAGGCCGGGGCGGCCCCGGGGGCGGCGGUGCGGGGAGGUUCAAGUUCCUGUGGGCUGGAAGGUGCUGGAUACACACUGUCAGUCCUGCCUCUUCAACUCACCAAGGAUUUGGGCUUUUGUUGGCCAUCAGCCUCUCACUUAAUGCCACUUCAAGUCUUAUUUGACCCAUGGAGCUGUUUUGUCUAAGAUGUGUUUGUGUAUAUGGCGAUCUCAUUCAUCAUAUGUUGAUUUUACUAGGAAACUAAAUGUUCUGCCAAGACUCUCAUUAGUCUUUAUUUAGUUCCAAGGGAUCCCUCUGAUGGAUGAGAUCCACCCUGGCUCUGCUUCAAGCUCUCAGCACAAUGCACUGAAACAACUGUUAAGAUGGCCUACAAGCAUCUCCUAUAACGUCUAUUGGAAGCUGAUUAAAAUUCCUAAUAGCUUAUAUUUUAAAUCAUUUUCUCACAGACCCAUCGAUGACCUAAAUAGGAGCAUAGAAAUGAUCUAGACCAAUCUCUCACCUCACAGCGAGGAAAAGACUGAGAAAACCCUGACUUGGUCCAGGUUAUACAGUCAGUGGUGAGCCAAGACCAUGCCAUAACCUCUUAAUUUUAUUUAUGACAAAUAAAACUAAUGCUGCCACUCCAGCAUUAAUUUCACAAAGGCCAACAUUUCAAGUCUCUAAUACCUGUUGGCAUCUACCACUUGACUAUACAGGUUCCAGUCCCAAACCUACAUCCUUCUUUAGCUAUUCGACAUUGGUUAGUUACUUGAACUAUUCAUGCCAAAGUCCUAUAGCUCCUAACGCUUAGGGUUGUUAGGAAACUUAAAUGACAUUAUACUUAAAAGGUGCUUACAGCAGU